rnacentral:rRNA from 1 species
UAAGCGGAGGAAAAGAAACCAACAGGGAUUGCCCCAGUAACGGCGAGUGAAGCGGCAAAAGCUCAAAUUUGAAAUCCUGCGGGAAUUGUAAUUUGAAGGUUUCGUGGUCUGAGUCGGCCGCGCCCAAGUCCAUUGGAACAUGGCGCCUGGGAGGGUGAGAGCCCCGUAUGGCGCACGCCGACUCUUUGCACCGCGGCUCCGACGAGUCGAGUUGUUUGGGAAUGCAGCUCUAAGUGGGUGGUAAAUUCCAUCUAAAGCUAAAUAUUGGCGAGAGACCGAUAGCGAACAAGUACAGUGAUGGAAAGAUGAAAAGCACUUUGAAAAGAGAGUGAAACAGCACGUGAAAUUGUUGAAAGGGAAGGGCUUGCAAGCAGACACGGUUUUACCGGGCCAGCGUCGAAAAGGGGGGAGGAACAAGAACUCGAGAAUGUGGCGCGCACCUUCGGGCGCGCGUGUUAUAGCUCGUGUUGACGCCUCCAUCCCUUUUCGAGGCCUGCGAUUCUAGGACGCUGGCGUAAUGGUUGCAAGCCGCCCGUCUUGAA